rnacentral:ncRNA from 1 species
CUGGACGCGUCCUUGGUCAAUUAGCAGAAGGCCUAAACAUAAAGAGGGAUCGUUUUGUGCAAACAAAACGCAAACAAUUAGCUAUAUGCUGGAACAUCUGGAGUAUCUUACGCUACCGCGCGUCGUGCGGGUAAAAAUGUGUCAGUGCAGACAACCAGCAGGAAACUGCAAUAUCUGAAGAAGGGAAAUAAAAAAUUGCAGGAUCCUCAGAGACUACACGCUAAUCCCCAGCACCACUUUUGUCUUACAAAAGUGGUGCUGGGUGAAGAUAUAGUCCGAACUUUAUGGCGACAUAAAG